GCCCCUGUAGCUCAGCGGAUAGAGCAUCGCCCUUCUAAGGCGAGUGCCGGGAGUUCGAAUCUCUCCAGGGGCGCCA
rnacentral:tRNA from 1 species